CAAGACCUACUAUAAAGGUAUGGUAAUUAAGACAGAGUUGUAUUGGCAUAAGGUGUUGUGCUGGAGCCCUGUUGAUUCUAAUAGGGAUGGCACUGUAUCCACGAGGCUGAAGAAAAGAGCUGGAGGCAGUGAAUGAGACAUAGGGUUUAUUGGGGGGACUUAUAUACAGGGGUGGUCCAGUGGCAGUAGGCUGGACAGGAGAACUGCUACUGUUUGUAAGAAACAUGCAUUUUCACCUAGCACCCACCACCUAGCAACCUCCAUCUAAUCCAAAA
rnacentral:lncRNA from 10 species